UACAGAGGUCCCAAGCGUUGUUCGGAUUCAUUGGGCGUAAAGGGUGCGUAGGUGGCGCGCUAAGUCAGGUGUGAAAUUUCGGAGCUUAACUCCGAAACUGCAUUUGAUACUGGCGUGCUUGAGGACUGGAGAGGAGACUGGAAUUCAUGGUGAUGAGCAGUGAAAUGCGUAGAGAUCAUGAGGAAGACCAGUGGCGAAGGCGGGUCUCUGGACAGUUCCUGACACUGAGGCACGAAGGCCAGGGGAGCAAACGGG
rnacentral:rRNA from 1 species